rnacentral:lncRNA from 1 species
GUCAGAGAUUACCCAUAACGAAGAAAUCGAAUGAGGGCUACUGCAGCGAUGGCUAGUAGCGAGUCGAAAGAUAAUGUCCUAGUAAUAUCUGAUGAGAUAUCUACUUUUUUUCAGCAAUAGAUUUUAGGUUAUGUAUGUACCUAUUAUGUAUGUUACAAAGAGGAGUUGUUUGACUCUCUAAAGAGCAGUGAGGGCACCAUUCACUUGCCGAAUGGAUCAAGCUGUGCGAUCAAAGACAUUCGGAAUAAUUAGUUGGAGGACACAUGAUGGUGCAGUGAGAAGAUUGAGAGAGGUCAAAUACAUAUUCGAUUUUAGAUGAAAUCUUAUCUCACUAAAUAGACUGAAUUCAAACGGCUAUAGGAUGGUAGUUUGUGAUGGAAUCCUGAAGAUUUUGCAUGGUGAUAGGAUGAUAUUGGAGAAGAAGAAGAGGAUGAAAGAACAUUACUACCUGGUGGAGAGCCUAGUGCGAGAUAGAGCUUCAGGAGCUAGGGAGAGUUUAGAGCGAGAUGGAGCUCUAGGUGGAGGUAGAUCGAGUAUGAGAUGCGAGACUCGAGAGGAUGAUAGACGAUAUCACAAGGUGAGGUUCCUAUUACCGCAGGAGGCUAUCCUAAGCAGAUCUCAGAUCAGAAGGAGCAUAGUAUAUAAUGGAGAUGAGAUGGAGCGGUCUGGCUCAACUUUAAUGUUUGUCUAUCCAUGAUCAGUAGAUAUUUGCCCUAGGGUAUGGGGGCGAGAAGAUUCAGCUCUCAAAGUUAGGUGGAGAUCAAAUAUCGAGUCAAGAUGGAGAUUAUUGAGAAAAAUAUCUUAAGAUUCGAUGCACAAUAAGCUUAGAACGA